rnacentral:rRNA from 1 species
AUCAUUCAGUUGGGCACUCGUAGCGAGACUGCCGGUAAUAAACCGGAGGAAGGUGGGAUGACGUCAAUCAUCAUGCCCUUAUGACCUGGGCUACACACGUGCUACAAUGGUUGGUACAACGAGUUGCGAGUCGGUGACGGCGAGCUAAUACUCUUAAAGCCAAUCUCAGUUCGGAUUGUAGGCUGCAACUCGCCUACAUGAAGUCGGAAUCGCUAGUAAUCGCGGAUCAGCACGCCGCGGUGAAUACGUUCCCGGGCCUU